UUAAAAGGACUUGAGACAAUUUC
rnacentral:snRNA from 1 species